rnacentral:misc_RNA from 1 species
GAUGAAGAACGUAGCGAAAUGCGAUAAGUAAUGUGAAUUGCAGAAUCCCGUGAACCAUCGAGUCUUUGAACGCAAGUUGCGCCCGAAGCCACUAGGCCGAGGGCACGCCUGCCUGGGCGUCACACGUCGUUCCCCCCCCAUCUACUCCUUCGGGAUUGCAGGGGGCGGAUGAUGGCCUCCCGUGCGCCUCGCCGCGCGGUUGGCAUAAAUACCAAGUCCUCGACGACGCACGCCACGACAAUCGGUGGUUGCGAAACCUCGGUUGCCCGUCGUGUGCGUUCGUCGCGCAUCGAGGGCUCGAAAAAAUGCUCGGCUCCGGCUCGGCUUUCAACGCGACCCCAGGUCAGGCGGGGUUACCCGCUGAAUUUAAGCAUAUCAAUAAGCGGAGGA